GGAGCGGAGGGACCGUAAUAAUUUCGUCGAUUCGCUCGGAAUCUAAAAUGGAAAAAAAACGUAAUCUCUUUAAAUCAAAAAAAAAACAACGACAAAUUAUAGCGGUUUAACAAUGUACGCUAUAAUAAACGAAAUAAUGACACGUGUCGUAGAGCGCAGCGUUUCGCGCGUUUAAAUAAUUUAAUCGUCCCGUAUGCGCGCGCGGGCGCGAAAACGAAAGCCGAAGAGUCGCGUCGAUUUCCGUUCCGUCGGGGGCGCGCGGAUUAACGACGGCCCGUUUCCUCGUUGUAAAAUCGCCGUUUUUUUUU